rnacentral:rRNA from 1 species
GAUGAACGCCGGCGGCGUGCCUAAUACAUGCAAGUCGAGCGAACGGACGAGAAGCUUGCUUCUCUGAUGUUAGCGGCGGACGGGUGAGUAACACGUGGAUAACCUACCUAUAAGACUGGGAUAACUUCGGGAAACCGGAGCUAAUACCGGAUAAUAUUUUGAACCGCAUGGUUCAAAAGUGAAAGACGGUCUUGCUGUCACUUAUAGAUGGAUCCGCGCUGCAUUAGCUAGUUGGUAAGGUAACGGCUUACCAAGGCAACGAUGCAUAGCCGACCUGAGAGGGUGAUCGGCCACACUGGAACUGAGACACGGUCCAGACUCCUGCGGGAGGCAGCAGUAGGGAAUCUUCCGCAAUGGGCGAAAGCCUGACGGAGCAACGCCGCGUGAGUGAUGAAGGUCUUCGGAUCGUAAAACUCUGUUAUUAGGGAAGAACAUAUGUGUAAGUAACUGUGCACAUCUUGACGGUACCUAAUCAGAAAGCCACGGCUAACUACGUG